AACUCCCAACCCCUGUGACAUACCACUUGUUGCCUCGGCGGAUCAGCCCGCUCCCGGUAAAACGGGACGGCCCGCCAGAGGACCCCUAAACUCUGUUUCUAUAUGUAACUUCUGAGUAAAACCAUAAAUAAAUCAAAACUUUCAACAACGGAUCUCUUGGUUCUGGCAUCGAUGAAGAACGCAGCAAAAUGCGAUAAGUAAUGUGAAUUGCAGAAUUCAGUGAAUCAUCGAAUCUUUGAACGCACAUUGCGCCCGCCAGUAUUCUGGCGGGCAUGCCUGUUCGAGCGUCAUUUCAACCCUCAAGCACAGCUUGGUGUUGGGACUCGCGUUAAUUCGCGUUCCCCAAAUUGAUUGGCGGUCACGUCGAGCUUCCAUAGCGUAGUAGUAAAACCCUCGUUACUGGUAAUCGUCGCGGCCACGCCGUUAAACCCCAACUUCUGAAUGUUGACCUCGGAUCAGGUAGGAAUACCCGCUGAACUUAAGCAUAUCAAUAAGCGGGGGGAAAAGAAA
rnacentral:rRNA from 1 species